rnacentral:rRNA from 1 species
GAUGAACGCUGGCGGCGUGCCUAAUACAUGCAAGUCGAGCGAACAGAUAAGGAGCUUGCUCCUUUGACGUUAGCGGCGGACGGGUGAGUUACACGUGGAUAACCUACCUAUAAGACUGGGAUAACUUCGGGAAACCGGAGCUAAUACCGGAUAACAUAUUGAACCGCAUGGUUCAAUAGUGAAAGACGGCUUUGCUGUCACUUAUAGAUGGAUCCGCGCCGUAUUAGCUAGUUGGUAAGGUAACGGCUUACCAAGGCAACGAUACGUAGCCGACCUGAGAGGGUGAUCGGCCACACUGGAACUGAGACACGGUCCAGACUCCUACGGGAGGCAGCAGUAGGGAAUCUUCCGCAAUGGGCGAAAGCCUGACGGAGCAACGCCGCGUGAGUGAUGAAGGUCUUCGGAUCGUAAAACUCUGUUAUCAGGGAAGAACAAAUGUGUAAGUAACUGUGCACAUCUUGACGGUACCUGAUCAGAAAGCCACGGCUAACUACGUG